rnacentral:rRNA from 1 species
UUCAUAAUGGCGGUAUAGCGUGUUCUUGGCUCAGAUACCUUAAGAGAUUGCACCUAUAGUGUGUUCUGUGGGCCAAAAGGUGAGGAAUACAUCGAAAUCUACCUUUUCGUGGGGUAUAACGUAGGGAAACUUACGCUAAUACCGCAUACGACCUUCGGGUGAAAGCAGGGGACCUUCGGGCCUUGCCGGAUAGAUGAGCCGAUGUCGGAUUAGCUAGUUGGCGGGGUAAAGGCCCACCAAGGCGACGAUCCGUAGCUGGUCUGAGACAAUAACCAACCACACUGGAACUGAGACACGGUCCAGACUCCUACGGGAGGGAGCAGUGGGGAAUAUUGGACAAUGGGCGCACGCGUGACCAGGCAUAAAGGCAAGGGGGAGGAGGGUUUCCGGUUUGUUUAGCCUUUUGGAAGGAAAAGAAAAAAUUCAUUUAUAACUGGGUUUUUCCGGGGACCACAAGAGAAAAAAAACUGUUUACUUCCGCCCGGGGGGCGGGAAAGCGGAAGGGGCCAGCCCUUUUUCUCGGAAUUUAGGGGCAAAGCCGCGCGGGUUGGGGGGGGUUUUAAGGCUUUUUUCGUAAAACCCCCGGCUCUAACCGGGAAAUUUCCCAGGGGUACACGGGGAAACGAGAGUGGGAGAGAGGAUUGCGAAUUUCCCGGGGUGAAAGCAGAAAAUCGCAGAGAGACGGGAGGGGAAUCCCCUGGGGAAACGCGCGCACUUUUGCCCCCCACUCUUUUCUUGGAGGCGGGAAAAGCGUGGGAGGAAAAAGGGGUUUUAUUUCCCCUCGGAAACCCCCACCCCCAAACAAAUAGGCAAAUUUGGAGGUGGUGGGGCGAAAUUUUUGCCCCCAAAUUAUCCAAACCUAAUCGCGUUUUAAGUUUGCCCCCCCCCGGGGAAUUUACCGUUCCAAAAACCUUGAAAAUCUUAAAACGAUUUUUAUGGGAGCCCCCCGCCCAGACGGGUGGGUGUUUAAUUUGGGAUUAAAAUUCCCGAGAGAAAAACG